GACUUGUAUUAAUAUACCACCGUUAUUUAUCUAAUACAUUCCACUCAAAAUUCAUAAUUAUCUCAGACUACCCUUGAUAGAAAAAUAAAUAAAGAUCAAACAUCGGGCACUCUUCACAAUCAUCGAUUUCUUUCUUCUCUUGACCUUCCAACAAAUUUUAUAUAUAGACUCUCAUCUUAAGAAAAUCUCAAUCUUCUAUAUCAGUCCAAGUAAUAAUAUUAAAUUUAAAAAAAAUAUGAGAUCUAUAUCAG
rnacentral:lncRNA from 1 species